ensembl:lncRNA
AGGGAAUAGUGCAGUAGUAUGGCAGCUAUAUCUCUAAUUUAUUUAAUAUGCAUUAAGUAAUUUUACUAUUCAUUUGUUUUUAUUUCUUAUCCGGUUGACUAUAACGCAAAAUGCAUAUUUCGUAGCUAAGUAAAAGUAAAUAUCAUUUGUUGCAGAAUGAUACAUAAAGGCAGGUGUUUUGGGGUGGUUGAUGACGUCAGUGGGAGGUAUAAAAAAAGCAAAGGCUUGGUCCCCUGUUUCAUUCACGUUUUCUCUACCAAGAAGAACAGAAUCCCCUCCAUCAUGAAGAAACUGUGCGUCGCAGUCGUCGGAGUUUUGCUGCUGGCUUUCCAUCUCACAUCACAGGUGGCCCUGGCGAAUAACGGCACGAAUCCGGACAACACAAACAUCACCACCCCGAGUUCCACGGGGGCUGGUUGUAGGACUACCGCCGCCUUCAUGCUGCUGCUCCCCCCGCUGGCUCUGACCGCUCUUCUCCUCCACAGGUCCUGACCGAGUGGACUGACCGCGCUGGACACAAAAGCAGCACAGGUUGCACUGUGGAUCCAAUGCUGGCUUAGUCUAAAUACAUUAAUCUCUCAAUCCACCCACCCACUCAAAAACCACCAAAAACGCGUUUUGGAAUUACAUUUUCAGUGCUGGGUGGGAAAACUUGUCUAAAGGCGACGCUCACUUUGAAGCAUUCUGCUCGUUCUAUCCUCUGCACUGGCUCUGCAUGGUCUCUGAAAACUACUUUGGCACCACACCGGUCCUCCUAUCCUGCGUGCAGUGGGAGAACACCUCAGACUCGUGUGCAGUGACCAUCUUCGAUUCUGGUUUCAUUCGCCUGAACAUGAUUUGUAAAGGAGCUAAAUUUGUAACCACUGUGCUUUUAGGGUGUGACUUGAACUGUUUAUUUUUAUGUAGAUUAAAUAAAGCUAUAAAUUGUGAGACCACAUGGCUGACCAUUUCUUUCCUGCUUUGAGUGUUUAACGUUUUCAGGCUAGACUAUAGAGCCAUCAAAUUAAAAC